rnacentral:rRNA from 1 species
AUUGUACGCUGGCGGCAGGCCUAACACAUGCAAGUCGAGCGAGCGGCGGACGGGUGAGUAAUGUAUGGGGAUCUGCCCGAUGGAGGGGGAUAACUACUGGAAACGGUGGCUAAUACCGCAUACUAUCGGAUGAACCCAUAUGGGAUUAGCUAGUAGGUGGGGUAAAGGCUCACCUAGGCGACGAUCCCUAGCUGGUCUGAGAGGAUGACCAGCCACACGGGGACUGAGACACGGCCCAGACUCCUACGGGAGGCAGCAGUGGGGAAUAUUGCACAAUGGGCGCAAGCCUGAUGCAGCCAUGCCGCGUGUAUGAAGAAGGCCUUAGGGUUGUAAAGUACUUUCAGCGGGGAGGCGUUACCCGCAGAAGAAGCACCGGCUAACUCCGUGCCAGCAGCCGCGGUAAUUC